UGAAAAAUGCCUUCAUCUGCGCCUCUGUUGUCUACCUGUAUCCCAUGGAUACGGCCGGAUACUUGCGGGGCUUGUAUGUGCCGCGCCUGCGCACAAUGUCCUACCUUCUCCCCAGCCGGCCGCUCGAGAACGCGCACGCAUGGCUGUUUUACAAGCUGGGGAGGCGUGUCCUGCAUGCUGGAGAUAGUGCCGGGGAGAGAGACUGUCUGCCUGCUACGCUGCUGUCCUGCAGAUUCUAGAGGAGGGAGGAGGGCCCUGGAAGAUCACGGUGGCAGAGGAGGAUGUCUUAUCCAAAGCUUCAACAUCCGAGAUUUUCAGGAUUUACACUGCAGCGUUCCUAGCUGUCUUCUCAAGGGCCUAAGUGAAGACUGGUUUCAGGAGAAGCAUAGCCCAUGUUAGACCGCAGUGACCUCCCUCAGGAUACUUGGCUGAACAAUCUAUCUCGUGUAUGACCUCGGAUCAGACCCUGGAUAUUCUCUGACGUCUCAUCCCUUGGUACCACGCUUCUCGGACUGAUAUAACGUGUAUGAACUUUGGCCUGGUCACAGCCUGCUUCCCUGGUCUCUCCCUGCAGAGGUUUUUAUUCGGCUUGAUUACCUGUGUAUGAUCACUGGUUUUUGACUGAA